rnacentral:rRNA from 1 species
AACGAACGCUGGCGGCAUGCCUAACACAUGCAAGUCGAACGAGACCUUCGGGUCUAGUGGCGCACGGGUGCGUAACGCGUGGGAACCUGCCCUUAGGUUCGGAAUAACUCCCCGAAAGGGGUGCUAAUACCGGAUAAUGUCUUCGGACCAAAGAUUUAUCGCCUUUGGAUGGGCCCGCGUUGGAUUAGCUAGUUGGUAGGGUAAAAGCCUACCAAGGCGACGAUCCAUAGCUGGUCUGAGAGGAUGAUCAGCCACACUGGGACUGAGACACGGCCCAGACUCCGACGGGAGGCAGCAGUGGGGAAUAUUGGACAAUGGGCGAAAGCCUGAUCCAGCAGUGCCGCGUGAGUGAUGAAGGCCUUAGGGUUGUAAAGCUCUUUUACCCGGGAUGAUAAUGACAGUACCGGGAGAAUAAGCACCGGCUAACUCCGUG